GAUGAACGCUAGCUACAGGCUUAACACAUGCAAGUCGAGGGACCGGCGCACGGGUGAGUAACACGUAUCCAACCUGCCCUUUACUCGGGGAUAGCCUUUCGAAAGAAAGAUUAAUACCCGAUAUAAAGGAUGGGGAUGCGUUCCAUUAGGUUGUUGGUGAGGUAACGGCCCACCAAGCCUUCGAUGGAUAGGGGUUCUGAGAGGAAGUUCCCCCACAUUGGAACUGAGACACGGUCCAAACUCGUACGGGAGGCAGCGGUUAUGCAUAUUGGUCGAUGGGCGUGAGCCUGAACCAGCCAAGUAGCGUGAAGGGUGAAGGGUUAUGGGUCGUAAUCUUCUUUUAUAUAAGAAUAUGUAUUAUAUGAAUAAGGAUCGGCUAACUCCGUGCCAGCAGCCGCGGUAAUUC
rnacentral:rRNA from 1 species